GGGUCAGCUCGCCCAAAGCUCAAG
rnacentral:siRNA from 1 species